rnacentral:rRNA from 1 species
ACACUCCUACGGGAGGCAGCAGUGGGGAAUUUUGGACAAUGGGGGCAACCCUGAUCCAGCAAUGCCGCGUGAGUGAAGAAGGCCUUCGGGUUGUAAAGCUCUUUUGUCAGGGAAGAAACGGUGGUGGCGAAUAACUACUACUAAUGACGGUACCUGAAGAAUAAGCACCGGCUAACUACGUGCCAGCAGCCGCGGUAAUACGUAGGGUGCAAGCGUUAAUCGGAAUUACUGGGCGUAAAGCGUGCGCAGGCGGUUGUGUAAGUCAGAUGUGAAAUCCCCGGGCUCAACCUGGGAAUUGCAUUUGAGACUGCACGGCUAGAGUGUGUCAGAGGGGGGUAGAAUUCCACGUGUAGCAGUGAAAUGCGUAGAUAUGUGGAGGAAUACCGAUGGCGAAGGCAGCCCCCUGGGAUAACACUGACGCUCAUGCACGAAAGCGUGGGGAGCAAACAGGAUUGGAUACCCCAGUAGUCCC